UGACCUCAAAUCGGGUGAGACUACCCGCUGAACUUAAGCAUAUCAAUAAGCGGAGGAAAUCCGCGCCCCUGCCC
rnacentral:rRNA from 1 species